GGAGAGGUGGCUCAGUGGUUAAGAGCACUGUCCGAGCUCGUCCAAAGGACCUGGGUUCAAUUCCCAGGCAUCUCCU
rnacentral:tRNA from 1 species